CCUACGGGAGGCAGCAGUGGGGAAUAUUGGACAAUGGGGGGAACCCUGAUCCAGCGACGCCGCGUGAGUGAAGAAGUAUUUCGGUAUGUAAAGCUCUAUCAGCAGGGAAGUAAGAAAUGACGGUACCUGACUAAGAAGCCCCGGCUAACCACGUGCCAGCAGCCGCGGUAAUACGGAGGAUGCGAGCGUUAUCCGGAUUUAUGGGGUUUAAGGGGUGCGUAGGCGGAUCGUAAAGUCAGUGGUCAAAUUGAGGGGUUCAACCCCUUCCAGCCAUUGAAACUGGCGUUCUUGAGUGGAAGAGAAGUAUGCGGAAUGCGUGGUGUAGCGGUGAAAUGCAUAGAUAUCACGCAGAACCCCGAUUGCGAAGGCAGCAUGCCGGCUUCCGACUGACGCUGAAGCACGAAAGCGUGGGGAUCGAACAGGAUUGGAUACCCCAGUAGUC
rnacentral:rRNA from 1 species